UGGGGAAUUUUGGACAAUGGGCGCAAGCCUGAUCCAGCCAUACCGCGUGAGUGAAGAAGGCCUUCGGGUUGUAAAGCUCUUUCAGACGGAAAGAAACGGUCGCGGCCAAUACCCGCGACUAAUGACGGUACCGUAAGAAGAAGCACCGGCUAACUACGUGCCAGCAGCCGCGGUAAUACGUAGGGUGCGAGCGUUAAUCGGAAUUACUGGGCGUAAAGCGUGCGCAGGCGGUUUGGUAAGACAGAUGUGAAAACCCCGGGCUUAACCUGGGAACUGCAUUUGUGACUGCCAGACUAGAGUGUAGCAGAGGGGGGUAGAAUUCCACGUGUAGCAGUGAAAUGCGUAGAUAUGUGGAGGAAUACCGAUGGCGAAGGCAGCCCCCUGGGCUAACACUGACGCUCAUGCACGAAAGCGUGGGGAGCAAACAGGAUUAGAUACCCAGGUAGUCCCUGAGCGGGCUGGCAAGGCGCAU
rnacentral:rRNA from 1 species